rnacentral:rRNA from 1 species
UACGGGGGGGGCAAGCGUUGUUCGGAAUUACUGGGCGUAAAGGGCUCGUAGGCGGCCAACUAAGUCAGACGUGAAAUCCCUCGGCUUAACCAGGGAACUGCAUCUGAUACUGGAUGGCUUGAGUUCGGGAGAGGGAUGCGGAAUUCCAGGUGUAGCGGUGAAAUGCGUAGAUAUCGGGAGGAACACCAGUGGCGAAAGCGGCUCUCUGGGGGCGAUCUGACGCUGAGGCGCGAAAGCGUGGGGAGCAAACCGG